rnacentral:rRNA from 1 species
ACUCAAAGGAAUUGACGGGGGCCCGCACAAGCAGUGGAGCAUGUGGUUUAAUUCGAAGCAACGCGAAGAACCUUACCGGGGAUUGACAUCUUGUCGAACUUGGUAGAGAUACCGAGGUGCCUUCGGGAGCGUCAAGACAGGUGGUGCAUGGUUGUCGUCAGCUCGUGUCGUGAGAUGUUGGGUUAAGUCCCGCAACGAGCGCAACCCCUAUGUUUAGUUGCUAACACGUAACGGUGAGCACUCUAAUCAGACUGCCGCAGAGAAUGCGGAGGAAGGUGGGGACGACGUCAAAUCCUCAUGCCCUUUAUACCCCGGGCUACACACGUGCUACAAUGGCCUGUACAGCGGGAAGCGAAGGAGCGAUCCGGAGCGAAUCUCUGAAAGCAGGUCUCAGUUCGGAUUGCAGGCUGCAACUCGCCUGCAUGAAGUCGGAAUUGCUAGUAAUCACGGAUCAUAACGUCGUGGUGAAUGCGUUCCCGGGCCUUGUACACACCGCCCGU